rnacentral:rRNA from 1 species
UGCAAGUCGAGGGGUAGAAGAGGCUUGCUUCUUUGAGACCGGCGCACGGGUGCGUAACGCGUAUGCAACCUACCUUUAUCAGGGGGAUAGCCCGGAGAAAUCCGGAUUAAUACCGCAUAAAAUCACAGCAUAGCAUUAUGCAAUGAUCAAAUAUUUAUAGGAUAAAGAUGGGCAUGCGUGUCAUUAGCUAGUUGGCGGGGUAAUGGCCCACCAAGGCGACGAUGACUAGGGGAUCUGAGAGGAUGGCCCCCCACACUGGUACUGAGACACGGACCAGACUCCUACGGGAGGCAGCAGUAAGGAAUAUUGGUCAAUGGAGGCAACUCUGAACCAGCCAUGCCGCGUGCAGGAAGACUGCCCUAUGGGUUGUAAACUGCUUUUAUCCGGGAAUAAACCACGAUACGUGUAUUGUGCUGAAUGUACCGGAGGAAUAAGGAUCGGCUAACUCCGUGCCAGCAGCCGCGGUAAUACGGAGGAUCCAAGCGUUAUCCGGAUUUAUUGGGUUUAAAGGGUGCGUAGGCGGCCUGUUAAGUCAGGGGUGAAAGACGGUAGCUCAACUAUCGCAGUGCCCUUGAUACUGAUGGGCUUGAAUGAACUAGAGGUAGGCGGAAUGAGACAAGUAGCGGUGAAAUGCAUAGAUAUGUCUCAGAACACCGAUUGCGAAGGCAGCUUACUAUGGUUUAAUUGACGCUGAGGCACGAAAGCGUGGGGAUCAAACAGGAUUAGAUACCCUGGUAGUCCACGCCCUAAACGAUGAACACUCGCUGUUGGCGAUACACAGUCAGCGGCUAA